CUAAGCUAUCCCCCCGUUCCCCAUUGCCUCACUCACAUCUCCCUAAUGGCAUCUGAUCUGAGAGACUGAGACAGAUCUCUUGAGUGUUAAGAGUUGAGUGUCUGGGACCAAAAACAAAUUCAUCAAUCGGCCUCAACAGUCACCGCCGAACGUCGUCGUCACUCUCCGCGGCGUUCGUCACUCUCCCGGCCGUCACUGCUUCUCCCCUCACCUCGCCGUGUUCGUUGUUAUAUUGGUCAUUUGUGGGUUGUGCUUCUUCUGCUUCUACUUCGUUGCUUUUGCUUCUGUGGUUUGUGGGUGCCUCACAUCGCCGAACCCUCACCAGACGAGGUCACUCUCUGCGGCGUCGUUACUUCUCCCGGCCGUCACUGCUUCUCCCCUCACCUCGCCGUCAGAAAGCUCAGCAACAAUUCCUCUUCUGCCUCAGUGCCUCUGCUCCCUCAGAGAAGGAGGCCAGGUCGACUGUCGACAGAGAAAAUAAGAGGAAUGAGGCUACAGCGGUGAUAGAGGCCACUGCCGAUGUUGGAUCCGCAGAGCUGCGUCCACCGUAGAACGACGUCGCAGCCGUUCCUUUGCCAGUGGGUGCUGCGAAUGAAGGAUGAAGAUAGAUUAGGAGAUGUCGAUGUCGGCAAUGGUGGAGCUGGCAGCAAUUUCCUAUCCUCGCCAUUGACACCUAUGAAAUGAUGCAACAAAAGAGAGAAGCCCACAGCGACAAGCUUUUGGUGGUUUGAAGUCACUCUCUCAAAGAAUCAGAAGGGCCAAGGAAAAGUCAAUCAUCUUGGGACUGGAAUCAUAGUGCAGGAUUUCAAGACAUAUAAACGAGUUGCAGCUGAAAGUGUUGUCGUAAAUGAUUCUGUAAUUCACAGAUGGAGCAUGCAAAAGAUGGUUUUGAUGUGAAUGAUUAUGGUGACGAGCAUGAGAAGGAAUAAGGAAAAGAGGAAGAAGAUGGAAAGGAGGGAACAGCUAAGAAAGACCAAAGUGGAUGGAAUAAUGAUGACAUGGAACAACUUGAGAAAGUAUAUAAGAAUCUUCAUCACCACGAGCUGAAUUGAUAUGUGCGUAUGUACGGAAAAAAAAAGAAAAGAAAAGGGGCACUGAUCAUAUAAAUAAUGUGAGCCUACUAUCAUUUUUGACCUCCCGAAAAGAUUUAAUUUUUGACAAAAUAUUUUUAAAAGCACCAAACAUGGCCUUUUUUGUUUUAUAAUUUAUUUGUAGAGUUUAAUUCCUUUGCUUUUGCAGUGUAAGAUUUUUGCUAUUAUUAUUUUGUAGUGCUCAAUUUCUCUGCUUUUACAGCAUUUAAGAGUUUUUUUUUCCCAAAAGAAGUUGUGGCAUUUAUGGUACAUACAACAAUCUAACACAAUACUGAAAUAAAUAGACAAGUUUUGAAAACCAAUAAAAAUAUUUGUCAGGAUGAAACUAUGCACUUUGAUAUUUUCACAUUGUGAAGAUAAUUUUAACAAGAUGGGCUGAUUUUAUAAUAAGAUCGACAUUCAGACAAUAAGUCUAACGGAAAAAAAGUAUUUUUUUUAAGUUGAAAAUAAUGUAUGCUACUCCUGAAAAAUAUCUAUUUUAUUGUUCUCAACAAAAUAGAUUCAGAAUAAUGAAUAUAUAGGUAAUUUUUUAUUCUUACUGUUAGUUGAAUUUGGUGGUUUAUGGAAAGACUUGAAGUUAAUAUCUAUCUAAUUGAUUUCACGACCAAGGAUUCACCCUCGACUUAAAGCUAAGAUCAAAGGUGUACUUGUCCUGCAGUUUAUUGACAAUACUAUUUUAUGUUGUAUUAUCUGGCAAGGGUUUACACUACUAACACAAACUUAAAGGUGACUUUUCUAUCUCUAUUCUUUAAUUAUAUCUGUGAUUCUUUUUUAAAUCUGUCUUUAUUAGGAUAUAACUGAGAAAGAAGGAAGAAGAAACGGGUAGACAAUACUUUGAAAAAUAACUAAAAAUGUAUAAUAAUACUGAUUAAUUAUUAGUCACACUUUGAACUUAGAAGAGAUGCAUUUUCCAAAUAAUUGAUAGAUUGGAUAGUUGUAUUAAAUAAGAAGUUUCUUAGUCACCAAAAAAAAAAUUCUUCUAUUCAUAGGUUGGUCCAUGUGAUAGUGUCAAUCACACUGCGAAUUUGAAAAGGCUACAGACAAAGACAAAUGUCAUGGCAAAGCUAAAUGGUUUGAUAGUUCAAUCGAAUAGAUAAACAUUAAAAGUAUUCUUGGGUCUCAAUUUCAGUCAGAUAUACUUUUCAUGCUUUGAGUACAAUGUGAAGUAGACAAGUUAAAGCAUGUUUAUAUUUUCUUUUCCUAACUGUUGAACUGUUAUUAACAAAAAUGCACAAGAUUACAUAACCCAUUUUUCAUAUUUGAAGACGUACGUGGCAUUACGUUGAUCCUUGGACUUAAAUCAAUUCCAUUAAUCUGUUAAUCGCUUUAAAGUAAUAAUUGUAUUUCUUGAUUAUCUUUAAAUGAAAAUAUAAUUGGAGAUGAACUAUACUCAAAUCAUCCUUUUCUUUGUGCCGCCCUUACUUUAUACGUGUUCUAAUGACUUAUUUGUCAUUAUAUCUUUCUCUGUUUCAAAGCAGAAACGCCUUACUUUGUCAACUCCAUAAAGCUGUUUGAGAAUAUUGGUUGCUGGAAAAUUACAACGGAGAAAAAGAGAAAGGAGCUGCUCUUGCUCGGUUAAUCACCUGAAGAUAUAAGUAAAGCAUCGCAAAAUUGUCUUCCAAAAUAUACCAAGCUUCCAGGCAACUGCAGAAGAGGUGGAUCUCAACAAUGAUGCUCUGGUCUGGUACAUGGGCGCGUGUUUCUAUUUGGCUGGCAAUAGGGCUACUUGUUUAUGUAUUUUAUGGCCGAACCCACAGCACGCUGAAGGAUGCAGUUUAUGUGCUGGUGGCGCAAGUGGACGACGCAUCGAUAAGUUGUCUUGCUUAAUCUUGGUAGCAGCCCAAACUGCAGCUCCACUUUUGUUGUAUAUAUCUGUAAUUUCUGUACAGAAAAUGCAUAUAAUAUCGAGAUUCAAUAGUUUAGCAAUUGUAGUGUGGAAUAUGAUUUCCUUUAGCAACAGUUAACUACGGCUGUAAUAUUCAUUUUAUACGGAUUGUAAAUGCAAAUAUAAUUUAAAAAGUUAAUAACGCAAAUGAGCAAACAUCUCCUCAGAUUUCAAAUUUUCA